UAAAGUUUGAUUCUUGCUUAGAUUUCUAUUUUAUGGUUAAGGGGUACAUGUAAACUUUAGUGUGCAUUCGAGAGGGUUAAAUACUUCGUGGGUGCUGUGAAGCGGAGCUCAUGAGGGAUUUAAUCGCAGUAUAAGAAAUUGAAAAAUUGAGAGAGACAGAUUUGGUAAAUUAUAAUAGGUCCGGUUAAACUUUGUGCCAGCCACCGCGGUUAGACUUGGGGGGUAAGUAGAAAGUUAUUAGUUGAAAAAGUUACUUAAGUUGAGAGGUGAGAAUUUGUUUACAUCAAUAAAGGGUGAAAUCAAAAUUAUUGGGAAGAAAUGAAGGUAAUUUCGAAAAGAUGAGGAGGCUUAUAAGGUUGGGGAAUAAACUAGGAUUAGAUACCCUACUAUACUCAAGGGAAAUUAAUAGAGACUUAAAUAUUAAUAGGUAGUUUCUUUAAAUUUAAAGAAUUUGGCGGUAUUUUAGUCUAGUUAGAGGAACCUGUUUCGUAAACGACAAAACACGAAGUAUCUUACUAGCUUUUGUUUUCAGUUUGUAUACCGCCAUUAUUAGAUAACUUUUAUAGAAUUAAGUCAUUGAAAAUAAGAAUAGUUUAGGAGUUAAGUAUAUUAGGUCAAGGUGCAGCUCAUGGGUUAGAGAGAAUGGGUUACAAUAAAAUUUAUUUAUACGGAUUUGGUAAGGGAAUCUUACUAUUAAGGAGGAUUUAAUUGUAAUGAAAAAGGUUAACAAGGUUUGAUGAUAUUAGUACUAAAUUAUGUACAUAUUGCCCGUCGCUUUCAUUUAAAGUGGAAUAAGUCGUAACAUAGUAAGUGUACUGGAAAGUGCACUUGGAAGUAAG
rnacentral:ncRNA from 1 species